AGGAGCAGCUGGCGAAGGCAGCGGCAGGAGUGGCACUGAGGUCACAGAGACUCAAGAGGCGUCCGGUGAUGUGGAGCAGGCGUGGCCGGAGGACUCAUCUCCUGUGGCGGUAGCUGUGGAACCUGUGGAAUGUGGAGGUUUUGGAGCACGCUUUGCCCAACAACGGAUCCUGAUCUGCGGGCACAGUUAUGUUUUUUGGGCGGCCCAUCAAGCAAGACGGACAUCUGUGGGGUCACAGCUGGGACUGAGUGAGAAGGCGGUGGUAGAAUGGCUGGGUCGCCGAGGCCUCAGGUGGUCAGGUCUCUUGCCGUUGCUGUUUGAGCGGGGGCGUGUACCCCCCAUAUCCUAGUUGUUCAUUUAGGUGGCAAUGACUUGGGGAUGCUCCAGGGCAGGGCCUUGUCUGCUCAGGCGCAUGCUGAUUUGCGCCUUAUUGCGGAGCGGUGGCCUGGAGUGCUGAUUGUAUGGUCAGCAAUGGUCCCUCGUUUGGUUUGGAGGGAAGCUGGGUGCCGACAAGCCAUCGAGAGAGCGAGGAUGAAGGCCAAUAGGGCCAUUCAGAAAGCUUUGGAAGGAGGGCUGGGAGUGUAUUUGCCUCAUCCUCGAAUCAGGGCCGAGGUGCCGGGCCUAUACAGAGGUGAUGGCGUGCACCUUUCUGAGGCUGGCAACCGAAUAUUUUUGGAUGAUUUGCGGCAAGGGCUUCAGCUGGCCCUAGGUUAUCGGUGGGGCGCCGAGGCCUAAGCAGAGGCUUGGCCUCGGCGUUGGCAGGUUUUGGGUAGUUAGGGUGCGGGUUGGUGAGCACCAUUGGCGCUUCCCCUUUAGUGGGAAGAGGGGUCUGCCCGAAGGGCUGGUACUGCUUUGACGGCUGCCAGUAGCAGGGGCAGGCUGCCUUUGGAAACCCCGGCUUCCGAGUCCUUACCUCACUGCUAUACGGCUGAGGUGUUAGGAGCUUGAGAAGGGGGUGACCACGUUGCCUGGCCGGCCGGGUCCGCGCCAUCCAAGGGAUGGGUCGCACCCGGGGCUUCGGGGCUCGCCCAGACAGGUCAGGGCGGUGGUCCAGGGGGAACCCGUGGCCUGACCUGUACCGCUUUAGGCCCUUGCCGCUGUGUGUAUUAAUGUUAAUGUAUAUAGUUAAUAAAGUGGCCCUUAGAUCCAA